GGCGUUGCUGUCGGGCCCCCAUCUUGUGGGGAAUGCUAUGGCGGAAAAGGAAGCUCUUUCCAAGCACAGGCCCAGAGGCAAUCGCGACCCCGCUCGAGCUCCUAUACAAAUGUAUCCUGAGGGAAACUAAUGAAUUGGGAUUUUUAUUGAGCUAGAAGACGAAUACAGAAAUAUAUUACAGGCCAGUAGCAACCAGUUGCGGGCUUGCGGAUUCUCCACACCCCCGUGGCUAAUUUUGCCCUGCCUGGGGACCCUAAAUGGGUCUAAGUCGCCCCGGAGAAGCGAUGAAGAAAGAAGAGUGCUCCAGUGAUUCUGGAACGGCGGUGGCCGUUCCGUUUGACUUAGGGAAAGCCUUCUAACCCUCUAAGAAUUUUGAAAACAGCAAGCCAGCUAAAUUAAGGAAGAAAUUGUCACACAGAGCUUGGGGGGAACUUGUAGUCAUUGGCAAAUGUUCUUAAAUCAGGUAUGGACAUGCAAGGGAUGGCAGAUAUUUGAUGCCAGCAAAGCUAUACAGCAGUGGUUCUCAACCUUUCUAAUGCUGUGACCCCAUAAUACAGUUCCCCAUGUUGUGGUGACCCCCAACCACUUAUACAUCACCGGGUGCCAGGGGCGUGGCCAAAGAAAAGGGGGGGGAAAUGGCGGACAGCCUUGUUUGGCGACCCCCAUGAAAUGGUCAUUCGACCCCAAAUGGGGUCCCGACCCACAGGUUGAGAACCACUGUAUAGCAGUGAGUGAAUUUGUUCCCCAAGUGAUUUUUAGCCUAAAUGUAUAAUUGGGAAAUAAAUGUUCAGGAAAGGUAGGUCUGUUGAUAUCUGUGUUUGUAAAUAAAAGUCUCUGUUCAGGAA